ACAGAAACCAAAAGGUUCAAAUGACAGUUUCUAAUGCAGUCUCUGUACAAAAGGAGAAUCUGGUGAGAAUCAGCUUAGUGUUUUUUUUACAACAGGGAGAAGACGAUGAUACUUUCCAGCUUCAAAAGCUUCUUUAUUUAUUAUUAUUUGAGCUCCUUAUUCUACCCAAGCAAUGGUUUUGAGGUGAUCCAGCCACAGAAUAAGACUAAUAACCCAGAUACAGUUUUCAUCAGCUGUAACUUUACAGCAAACACUGGGACAAUUAUAGAUGUCCGACUCAACAAGGUUUUACCAGAGAAAAAGAUGCUCUGCCAGACUGAAUCUGAAGCCUGUCAUAACAUUAUCGUACUUAAAGACGCUCCAUUCAAGUACAUUUUCAUCUUACUCAAUGCUGGGCCAGAGGCAUGGACCUCAAAGUAUGAAUGUGAGUGGUCAGCAACAAAUAAGGAUGGGACGGACAAAACCGUGACAAGUGCAGCAAACAAAUUAAUUAAACUGCAACUACAAGGCUGCUGGGAACCACACGGGAAGAGUGACGUGAGCAGGUCCUAGACAACAUACGCACAAGGGUGAUGAGGGGAGACAGCUGUCAACGCAGCAGGGACACAUAAACAUAAUGCACAUAGACUAUCAAAAUAAGACAGGAAACGCGGCAAAAAGUAUAAGCACAGUAAGUCCUGCUGUGCAAUUCAAAGGUACAGCCUAAAAGUUUUGAUUUGGAGGUGGUAAAAUUAGGAACUAUGUGUUGUUAAAGUUGCAAAUACAAACCCACGAUUCUACUAAAUCAAAGUUAAGACUUGAGACUUUUUUAGCAACAGAAUCAUAAUGUCAGCAAAGACACUGUGACUCAACCUCCCUUGUGUCCAAGUUGCAAAGUCCGUGUGGUCUUUUAGCCCAAACCACACAAAUUUUGCGAUAAAAAGCCCAGGAUAUCCUCUUUACUGUGCACUAGGACUCAUAGAUUGCUUGAUGUAGACGUCUCACAUGUACGUCCCCCACACGGGACAAAAAUGCAUUGCUGUGUCUUAGAAGGAUAUGCAGGUAAACUCUGUUAGCACUGUAUCAACACAGACACCCAGAAUCUUCAAUCAGAAUGAUGAAAAUGGUAAAUCGACGGGUUCUUUUUCUGCUCUGAGCACUCAGAGUGAUUAUACAGCAUGCCUCAUUCACUAUUUCACACAAGCAUUGCUUUCUAACAUUCGCACAUUUUGAUGAAUCUUGGGGUAAAUGUCUUACCUGAGGAUAUUUGGCAUACAGACUGCAGUAACCAGGGUUGAACCAUCAACAUUCUCAUUAGUAGAUGGUCUGCAGUGCAUGUGUGGGUUAGGGGUGUGUUGUUAAACUUGUUAAACGUUUUUUUGUUCAACCAUGUCCUGGAAAUCAGGGCAAAAUGUAGCUCUGUUUGAUAUGCAUUAAAAACCAUUUCAGUUUAGCACAUGGUUAAGGCUGUGAUGAGUGUUAUCGCUGAGGACAAAUUAGACCUCAGAGGGUUAAUUGUCCAAGAGAUUGCUCCUUACAGUUACCACUUUGUAAAGAAACUAUCACAGAAAUACUGCAAGGCUUUGAAACCUGUUGUUGACUCUUAAAAUUAAAAAUAAAAAAAUAAUAAUUUCUGUGCAGGCUAGGAUUUUUUUUCACCUCAGAGAUUUUAGUCUGUAUCGUUUCAGUGGUUUAAGCAGACAGAAUCUUUUAACAGUAUCUAAAUCAAAGUUUGACUUCCUUGCAUUGCUGGUCAGAUCUGAUCAAACUACGCCCACGCUACUGACGAAGCUGGCUGGAUACUCUGUGCUGCUAAAUGUGUAAAACAGUCUUUACAACAAAACCUAAUAAUGCAUGUUUCUGAACGUGAAACUGGCUGCUGUUUAUGUCGUUGUGUUUAGUGACGUCAGUCAAACCACUGAAGUACAAACAGGAAGUAACCACUGUUUUUAUUAGGUCAACUGGAAAUCACACCACAGUGUACUCCUCCCCCUUCACCUCCUCCUCCUCAGUCCCAUCAGCUCAUGUGGAUUUUGAUUGGUCUGCUGGCCCUGAUGUUUGUGUACAGCUGUAUCAUCACCUCCUUCUACAUGAGGCUUAUGAACAGCAGCAAAGAUUGCGAAAACUCCACCUAUGUUGAAAUGAGGAACGUUCCAGUUCAGCUGCAUCCUCACCACAUUUACAAUACUAUGCAAAAGGCUUGAGCUGCCCCUCAUUUCUUUAUAUCUUAUUAGGAAAAUGGGUAAUAGGUUCAACAAUGUCUUAAAACAUGUAAAAAUACAUGGAAAUACAGUAUCUGCAGUAAAUACAACUGUGUACACAAAUGCAUAAACAGAGUCUUCACAAUUCUAAGGAACUUUAAAUAUUUCAUAUGACCAAACUUAUUCUUCUACAUAGCCUGAACUCUCAUGGGCAAGAUUGCUUAUAAUGUCUGUUAGUAGUUUUCAGGGCAGGGGGGGCUGGCUGCCUUUAUUCCAUUUUCCAUGAAGCUGGUGUUGAGGCCCAGACCAUGACUAACAGUUUUCUACCCAGAUAUGCUUUUUUUCUCAAUCCAUACGACCUGUUGACACUGACUGAAUAGACUGUAAAGUCGGCAUUGAUUAAAGUAUAACUUUGAAAGAGCUUUAGAAACCUUAGAGAGCUGCUGAUCAUGACCAGUUUAAAAUGUUACAAGAAAGUUCAGCUCCUUAGAAGCAAAAUAUAAAGAAAUGAGGGUCGCUCAAGACUUUUGCACAGUACUGUAGCUGACUCAUCUGUCUUCAGUAUCUUCAAAAAGAAGACGCGAACAGCUCAUAUUGUGCUCUCAACAUUUUGUUCUUCAGUAUUUGACAGUUCAUUAAGUUGUAUUGUGCAAUAGCAGAAAACCUGUGUAGUACUGAAGUAAAGAGGGGGGUGAACUGACCUCUUAAAGGCACAUGGUUUUAUUGACCUAUAAUAUGAUCCAUUAGUUUAAUCUUUUUAAAGUCUUACUUUAUUAAAAGAAUGUCAGCUAUUGAUUUGAUGUAAUUCCUCAAAAUAGUAAGUGUGGAUUGUACAUGUAGCAUCGUGGUUGGAUUUUGUCUCUGACAUGUUGAAACCUCAUGAUUCUUCCCUGCUCUUAGGUCUUCAGGUCAGAGGUCACAGUUGGUCCUACGUACCAAACUUGUGGGGAUCCGGCUUUUCACGCACCAAAGCUGUGGUAUUCUCUUCCAUUGUCUUUACGCCGUGCUGACUCUUUCAAAAAGCAGCUGAAGACAUUUCUAUACAAACAAGUUUUUAACUAAUUUUCUCAUUGUUUUGUUUUAUUUAUAUUUCUGGUUUUAUUGUGAAGCACUUUGUGAUUUUUAUCAGUAAAAAGUGCUAUAAAUGCAUCUUUCUUACUUACUUUUCUAAAUCUUCAAGGAAACUUUGCCUUAAUCUUGUAUUCAAAUUACAAUAUUUUAUACUAUGUUUUGUGUAGUUUCCACGUGCUUCAGUGUUUCUGCACACGCACACAACAAUGGUACAAUUUCUAAUUAUUGCGGUACAUGCCUUAUUGCUAAUAAUAUUAUAUUUUUAUAAAUAUACCUCAAGCUCCCCAUUAGUGGCCAGUUUGGUUUCUGUCUCAUCGCUUGUAUCAUUUUAUGAUAUACAUCGUUGAGGAUGGGGGAUACCUACUUAUCCUAGUUUACACAUUUCAAGCUGGAGAAAAUGGUGUGCCCAUCAGCAGCCACAGAAUCGGUUCAAUAUCCUUUAUUAAGGAUAAAUGUAAUUGUAACCUCUUAGUUAAUCUGAACGAUAACCUGUUGUUUUGCUGGAGGGGAACAGAAAAUCAUUGCAUUUGUCAUCACAUGUAGCAAAUAUCAUACCUUGACUUUUGAAUGGCCUGUUGUCUUUAUGUGUCUUUUAUUUCAAAAUAGAUUUGUAUGGUUUCUUUUAAUCAAUAAAAAUUAAAUCCAAAAACCUCUGCAGAGUGAUCCUUCCUAACCAUCACUCCAUCUAUUUUCUUAGAUAUUUUUCCAGCUAAAGUUGAAUGGGACAUGCACCCAUUUCAGCUGACCUUCUUUCCAUUCUCCACUGAAAGCUCAAAUGUCUCCCAUAGAUGUUCAGCUCAGUUUCAUCUGAGAGCUGUAAAGGCCUUACUCAUACACAUUAUUUUCACCUUCAGUAAAAAUAGGAUACAUACAAUGUCAUCCUAAAAUAGGCCACUGGUAUCAGGAGAGAAAUGAGUGGUCCUUCCCUCUAUAGAGUGAAGUGGAUUCCCAGAAUUUCGGGUACAAAGCAUAAUUUGUCAAAAGUAGUCAUUUGAUCCCCUAUCUGCAAAUCCAUACUGAGAGAAAGAAUGACACAAGAGUGACACUAUUGCAGUCUCAAGUUCAUUCAUACUGAUUCAAGGUCGCCACUGCCUGAUCCUUUCUCACAAUAUGUUGGACUAUUGGCAGACUUUGGCAAACUAACUAUUUUAUCCUACACCAGUGGUUCUCAAAUUGUGGCUCCCUCUAGUCAUUAAAGAUGAAAUAAUUUGUGCUGUAUUAACACAAUGCUAGCACUUUCUUUGCAAAGCAUUACUACCCUUCCUGUUGUGUUUGUGUC